rnacentral:tRNA from 1 species
GGCCCGUUGGUCAAGAGGUUAAGACAUCGCCCUUUCACGGCGGGGUCAGGGGUUCGAUUCCCCUACGGGUCACCA